rnacentral:rRNA from 1 species
GAAUUUCCCCACGGGGAAUUGCCUUAGUACGGCGAGUGAGCGGCAAAAGCUCAAAUUUGAAAUCUGGUACCUUCGGUGCCGAGAAGGGGUUUGGAGAGGGCAACUUUGGGGCCGUUCCUUGUUACGUUCCUUGGAACAGGACGUCAUAGAGGGUGAGAAUCCCGUGUGGCGAGGAGUGCGGUUCUUUGUAAAGUGCCUUCGAAGAGUCGAGUUGUUUGGGAAUGCAGCUCUAAGUGGGUGGUAAAUUCCAUCUAAAGCUAAAUAUUGGCGAGAGACCGAUAGCGAACAAGUACAGUGAUGGAAAGAUGAAAAGAACUUUGAAAAGAGAGUGAAAAAGUACGUGAAAUUGUUGAAAGGGAAGGGCAUUUGAUCAGACAUGGUGUUUUGUGCCCUCUGCUCCUUGUGGGUAGGGGAAUCUCGCAUUUCACUGGGCCAGCAUCAUUUUUGGUGGCAGGAUAAAUCCAUAGGAAUGUAGCUUGCCUCGGUAAGUAUUAUAGCCUGUGGGAAUACUGCCAGCUGGGACUGAGGACUGCGACGUAAGUCAAGGAUGCUGGCAUAAUGGUUAUAUGCCGCCCGUCUUGAAACACGGACCAA